UAUAAUAAUGUUUGCCAUUAAUAUGUUCAUUUCAUUCAAGAAAUAUUUAUCGAAUAUGCUUUAUGUGCCAGCUACCAUUUUAGGUAAUGGAGAGAGCUCCCUGCCUACAUACAACUUAUAUUCCAGUCAGGAAAACAGCUAAGAAACAAGUAAGCCAAUAAACAAUUGUAGGCUGUGAAACUAUGAAGAUAGCAGAAUUAACUAAUGGGAUAGGAGUGAUGGGGGUGUAGUGCCUGAGACAGGGUGGCAAGACAGCAGCUUCUUUGGGGAUGUGACAGUUGCCCCAAUCGCUGAAAGAUGAUAAACCUAGCUGCAACAAAUAUCUCAGAACAUUCAUCUUAGAGUCCUUCUCUGACUCUUCCCUUACGACAAAUCCCGGAAGUGGAAAUGCCAGGCCAAAUUACCUGCUCACUGAGGCUCCAAAGGAAUGACCAUGAGGCUCUAACUCUCACAGCCUCCUGCAAGCCAUCCUGCUUCAAGUCCUCACUGUGCUGAUGGCUGCCUGUGUACGAGAGAGGGACAGUCUCUUAACCUCACUGUGCCUCAGUUUCCUCAUGUGAAAGAUGGGGAUAAGAAUAGUGCUUGACUCGAGGGUUGGUACCUCAGUUAUGAACCUGAAGAUGGGUGAGGAAAAUGUGUUACUUUUUCUCUCCUACGGCAUCUAGUUUUAGACCUCCCAUUUUGGAUGAUAUCAGAUCUUAAAGAUCUAGCGUCCACUUUCCUCUGAGCGCCGUGCUCUUCAAGUUGCUGAAUUCUUCAGGAAUCCAGGCUGGAGUGCAGUGUAGCCAGGAUGGUCUCGAUCUCCUGACCUCGUGAUCCGCCCGCCUUGGCCUCCCAAAGUGCUGGGAUUACAUGGACACGCGUUUCUAAAGGCUCCCCUCGUGACCCUGCUGGACUGCCAGGGUUAAAAAGCUGCUGCGCUGGUGCACACAUAAAUGCCUCACCUGCUGGAUAAGCAGUGCCAAGACACGGAGAAGAAAGGCCUGCCUGAGAAGAGGAACUCAGCAGCCCCUUGAGCACGUGCCACGAAUCCUCAAAGAGCAUUUCCCCAUCACACACAUCUCCACGAGGUAGCUCCAUUUUGCUAGGUGACAUUUCUACUUGCAAUGCUACUGGCGAAUACUAUGGCUGAAGCAAGCUGAAAUCAUGAUAACUUUUGCUCUUGGUUGGUGACCUAUGUUAUGACCCUUUUUUAAACAUUUUAUUUUAUUUUUGAGACAGGGUCUG